UCUGGUCUGUCCUUAUGGCAUAAGCUCCAUGUCCAUCUUCCCUCUGGGCUCUUCCCUUUGGUUCCAAAGAGCUUAUUGUAGAAGUUAAAAAAAAAUACAGUAAAGUGAUUAUCAUAAUCCUAAUUAUCCUCUAGGCAAUGCAGAAAAGAAAAAACAUAAGGAUAAACAUAUUGAGAUUUGCUCUUGCUCCAGCACAAUUCCCUGAAAGGCUUCUUCUAAGCCUGGUAUCCUGGGAGUGGCAGUGUUUUCAGCGUGGCAGACAGAGCAGUCAGGAAGCUGGGAGCCCAAACAGCGUGAGACAAAGCCACAAAACAGAGGCUGCGCAUCGGUCGGUUGAUUUUUUUGAACUUCGGCAACUGAAGGCCUCGAUGGAGGCUGGCUUAACUGUAAACACUGUGCUGCAGCUUACAGAGGGCUGGAAAGAGAAAGGAAGGGGAACAACGGAUUAAAGAAGGAAAACGUUAAGGCUAGGACUCCACUGAAGACAAAAAAGAAAGAAAGAGACAAAAAUAAAACAAAGGGAAGAGAAAAAAUGAGUCCACGAAGAACGGUGAGGCUGAGACCAUGAAGAGCAGGAAGUAAGGGGACAGGAAUCAGAUGGGCAUAGGACAUCUGGUCCAUGAUCAUCCUUUGUUCGUGCUGAUCUCCGAUGAAAUAUCUGAAGAAGAAGGAGAACACCAUGUGAAGCUGGAGGCAGAGAUUGGAGUGACACGCCUACAAACUGAGGGGCACCAAAGACCACCAGCAACCACCAGAAGCUGGAAGAGGCAUGGAACAGAUGAGCACAAGAGCCUCCAGAAGGAACCAACCAUGCUGACGCCUUGAUUUUGGACUUCCAGCCUCUCAAAUUGCCAGACCUGUACCGGAAGAGCAUAUGGGCACAGAAGAAGUCAGAAGUAAAGCAACAGAGGUUAGCUUCACUUUACCAGCGGAGCUCAGGGUUCAGCAGGUAGAAGAAAAGGAAGAAUUCUCAAGCCAUGUAGCUUAUCAAGACUUCCACCUGGGAUCACCCAUCAUUCUGCCCUUUCGAAUUCUGAGCUGACAUCACCUCUGGGUAUAUCAAUGAACCACACAGACUCAGCCAACAGAAAACCAUGGAGAAGAGAUCUUGUUAUCAUUACUGAAAUUUUGAUUUUAAAUGGAAAGUUUGUUUUCAGCCAAGAAAAAGCUGGUGAGAAAGAAGCAAAUGAACCAAGUAUUUGUUUAUGUACUUCACAUUACAAGGCUGGUUAAAUGAUUUUAUUCAUUAGUAAUUAGUCUAUUCAACAGCACUGUGAAGUAGGUAUUAUUGCUCUCAUUGUUUAUAUUAAUCAGAGUGACACUAGGAAUACUGCUAAUAAUGGUAACUUGCAUUUCUUGGGCAUUUUCCCGGUGCUAGGAUCUGUGAACACCAAGGUAAAUUUCACUCAGAUUUGAUUUUCAAGUACAGAUGAGGAAAUUAAUGCUCAGUAAGUCCGUGUGACUUGCUAUUGUCAGACAGCCUGGGCUUGGCCAUCUGAUUAAAAAAACAGUGGGCUUUAAGCAUAAUACUAAGCUGCUAUAGGUCAUGGGGCUCAGAUUGGAGAAGAAAUAUGAAAUAUUUACAAAUGUGAACCUGAAAGAGCCAGCUCUUCAAAAUGAAUCCCAAGAGCCUAACUGAGCCUAAAUUUAAAAUAGUCAAGCAGUCAUUUGCUAAUUAGAGGUCACACAUAUCUUUUAGUUCCCAGAAAACUCAUUCCUCGGGUUUAACGUUGGGACCUUCAGAACUCCCAAAUGUCUAAUUUGGGAACUAACCAAUCAGAGCUCACCUGCCUUGGCCAAUCAGGGAUCAACUAUAUCAACCAAUUAGAACUAAGCAAGUUUGAAUGCUUCAUUUGCAUAAAUGAACCUGAUUGGGAAGCUGGGUGUGAAUUUUCUCUAUAAAAGCAAAACUCUCCCUUUGUUCUCUGGAUGGCACCUUUCCUUUCCAUUGAAGGUUGCAUCUUCCCAGUUUGCAAUCACUUCUCUGGAAUAAAAUCUCUUUCCUCAAAAUUCCUUUUUAGAGAACUUUUGUUCACAUGUGCCCAGGGUAACAAAGCUAGGAAGUGGUAAGCUUGGGAGUUAACCUAGACUGGUUUACUCUCAUAUUGCUUAUGUGGUCAGAUUCACCAAAUUGGAUUUUGUUUCUUUAGAUUUUUCUUUUGCUUUUACCAAAGCUACACUGCAGUAAAGUAACUGCUUCCCUUUUUCUCAGACUAAACUUUUUGCAGCCCCAAUAUUUAUUUAUUGGUGCUUCCAACACACCCUAUUAUAUUCUGCAAAUCACUAUUUGGUGGAUAUUUACAAAUUCUCUACAAAUGGCUUGUAUGUGAAGACCUCAGUCAUGACCUCAGCCUGGUGGGCACCAGUUCCACUUUCUCAGAGCAGUGGAUUCAGGGGCCAGUGUGGCCUCUGUUUGCAUCUGAGGGAGGGUGGCCUUGAGACAGAUACCUGGGGUGAGAGUGACUGCUGUGGUUUCAGUCCAUUUCUUGGAAGAGGUCCUGGCUUCUCCAACUGGUGGACUCCUUGUCCUUCCCUAACAACGUGUCUCUAAUGUUUGUGUGACUCUGGGUCAUAGUUCCUUCUGUUUCAUGUACCAUGAAUGCUGUUUCUUGACUCUUUGCAUGUAAAAACUCACUCAAAGCCUAGCUCAAAUGUUACAUUUAUUUUCUGGGUUUUUAUAGUCCUUUGACUAACUCUUCACCUUUCUUCAUGUGGGCACAGUUUUUCUGAAGUAUACAGUUAGUUGAGGAGUGUUUGUCAGUCUCUCAACUUCAAAUCUCUGCUACUAGCUAUGCAAUACUGAGAAGGCCACUUAAUCCUUCCAUGCCUAUGUUUCUGUGUUGAUAAUUUUGGAGAUGAUAUUUACUUCAUGGCUAAGAAUGUUAUGCAGCAAUGUUGGUUGUGAAAGUGCUUGGCAGAUUAGAAGGUGUGGUAUUCACUGUUGGGUGGCUGAUCCAACCUUUAUUCCCAAUUCUUUCCUCCCUGGCUUCCUUUUACUCUAUAGGCUAGAAAUGCUAAAUACUCACUCUCCAGCUUCCUUUGCAGCUAAGGCUGGCUAUGGAACCUAGGAAGAACCAAAGGAGCACACAUGGAGGUCCUCUGGGCGGCUCUGCACAGUGCUUGAAGUGAAAGCAGUUAUAUGAUAGCAAUGCAACAAGUUAACACAAAAACAAUGAUCUCUAGCCUUUUUGUCAUGUGAUAUAACUAAUGAUGUCUUUAUCAUGUAAGCCACUAUUAUUUGUGUAUUCCAUUACUUGUGGUUAAAAAGCAUUCCUGAUAGUGUAGAUUCUCAAUAAGUGUUUACUGAAUAUGAAUCUGUAUUGCAUUGUGAGUCUUGGGGGCAAAAUUCAAUAAAAUUAUCAUCUCUGCUC